AAUGCAACCUGCAAUUGCUCGUUGGGGUUAAUCCAUUAACUGUGUUUCAUUCAACUAACAAAUAUACGGAAGUUAAUUACGAUGGUUGCUUGCAAGUAAACGAUGGUUGCUUGCAAGUAAACAAUCGAAAUCAACUCAAAUUGCCAUUGCUAAAACAUGAGCUUGUGGAUCAGGGUCGUACAACUGCAACAGUUAUUUACAACAUGCAUAAAUGCCAUUCUUCAAUUUAUUAUAAUGCAGCGACAUUUCGCAUCCACAUGAGCUUGUGGAACAGGGUCGUACAACUGCAACAGUUAUUUACAACAUGCAUAAAUGCCAUAUUUCUUUAAUUUAUUAUAAAGCCAGAUUUCAUAAAUAAUCCUUUUAUUAACGGCUAAAAUAACAUAAACGUAGCUUUCCAAGUUCCUUAUUUUAAAAUUCCGACUGAUUCUAGAUCAGAUGAGAAAGAGGUGCUAGACUGAUUGAUCCCAAUUCUGCUGAGGAAGAGAGAGGUACUAGACUGACUGAUCCUGAUCCGACUGCGGUAGAUAGAGACUAGAUCUUGUGUGUGCUGGACUUUGUAAAUAAAGAUAAAAAGUUUAUUCGAAUGGAAGAAGAAUUGAAAGCGAGGUUGCCCGCAGACAACCUUUUUUAUCCAGCUCGACGUGUUGUGACAACUUGGUCCCCAUGCAAACAAGUGCGUUCUGAUGAUGAGUUGUAGCUGAAUCUCCAUUUAAGC